UGCCCUAGUAACGGCGAGUGAAGCGGCAACAGCUCAAAUUUGAAAUCUGGCCCUCGGGUCCGAGUUGUAAUUUGUAGAGGAUGCUUUUGGCGCGGUGCCUUCCGAGUUCUCUGGAACGAGACGCCUUAGAGGGUGAGAGCCCCGUACGGUUGGACACCAAGCCUCUGUAAAGCUCCUUCGACGAGUCGAGUAGUUUGGGAAUGCUGCUCUAAAUGGGAGGUAAAUUUCUUCUAAAGCUAAAUAUUGGCCAGAGACCGAUAGCGCACAAGUAGAGUGAUCGAAAGAUGAAAAGCACUUUGAAAAGAGGGUUAAAUAGUACGUGAAAUUGUUGAAAGGGAAGCGUUUGCGACCAGACCUUUUCUUAGCGGAUCAUCCGGUGUUCUCACCGGUGCACUUCGCUAGGUUUAGGCCAGCAUCGGUUUCUGUAGGGGGAUAAAAGCCCUGGGAAUGUAGCUCCCUCGGGAGUGUUAUAGCCCUCUGCAUAAUACCCUUACAGGGACCGAGGACCGCGCUUCGGCAAGGAUGCUGGCGUAAUGGUCGUCAACGACCCGUCUUGAAACACGGACCAAGGAGUCGAACAUUUGUGCGAGUGUUUGGGUGUUAAACCCUCACGCGUAAUGAAGGUGAACGGAGGUGAGAGCCCCUAGGGGUGCAUCAUCGACCGAUCCUGAUGUCUUCGGAUGGAUUUGAGUAAGAGCAUAACUGUUCGGACCCGAAAGAUGGUGAACUAUGCGUGGAUAGGGUGAAGCCAGAGGAAACUCUGGUGGAGGCUCGCAGCGGUUCUGACGUGCAAAUCGAUCGUCAAAUCUGCGCAUGGGGGCGAAAGACUUAUCGAACCAUCUAGUAGCUGGUUACCGCCGAAGUUUCCCUCAGGAUAGCAGUGUUGUUCUUCAGUUUUAUGAGGUAAAGCGAAUGAUUAGGGACUCGGGGGCGCUUUUUAGCCUUCAUCCAUUCUCAAACUUUAAAUAUGUAAGAAGCCCUUGUUGCUUAAUUGAACGUGGGCAUUUGAAUGUACCAACACUAGUGGGCCAUUUUUGGUAAGCAGAACUGGCGAUGCGGGAUGAACCGAACGCGGGGUUAAGGUGCCGGAGUGGACGCUCAUCAGACACCACAAAAGGUGUUAGCACAUUUAGACAAUAGGACGGUGGCCAUGGAAGUCGGAAUCCGCUAAGGACUGUGUAACAACUCACCUAUAG
rnacentral:rRNA from 1 species